rnacentral:tRNA from 1 species
UGGGGUAUAGCCAAGUGGUAAGGCAGCGGAUUCUGAUUCCGCCAUUUCCUAGGUUCGAGCCCUAGUACCCCAGCCA